GCAGAUCUGAGCCUGGGAGCUCUCUGC
rnacentral:misc_RNA from 1 species